rnacentral:rRNA from 1 species
GGAGAUAGCUGGUUCUCCCCGAAAGCUAUUUAGGUAGCGCCUCGUGAAUUCAUCUCCGGGGGUAGAGCACUGUUUCGGCUAGGGGGCCAUCCCGGCUUACCAACCCGAUGCAAACUGCGAAUACCGGAGAAUGUUAUCACGGGAGACACACGGCGGGUGCUAACGUCCGUCGUGAAGAGGGAAACAACCCAGACCGCCAGCUAAGGUCCCAAAGUCAUGGUUAAGUGGGAAACGAUGUGGGAAGGCCCAGACAGCCAGGAUGUUGGCUUAGAAGCAGCCAUCAUUUAAAGAAAGCGUAAUAGCUCACUGGUCGAGUCGGCCUGCGCGGAAGAUGUAACGGGGCUAAACCAUGCACCGAAGCUGCGGCAGCGAACGUAUCACCCAAGACAACUUUACGGAGUUGACGAUUGACGGAGCGAAGCGACGUCAAAGCGUUCAUUAAAGUCGAGUUGGCUUAGGGAUACGUUCGUUGGGUAGGGGAGCGUUCUGUAAGCCUGUGAAGGUGUGUCGUGAGGCAUGCUGGAGGUAUCAGAAGUGCGAAUGCUGACAUAAGUAACGAUAAAGCGGGUGAAAAGCCCGCUCGCCGGAAGACCAAGGGUUCCUGUCCAACGUUAAUCGGGGCAGGGUGAGUCGACCCCUAAGGCGAGGCCGAAAGGCGUAGUCGAUGGGAAACGGGUUAAUAUUCCCGUACUUGGUGUUACUGCGAAGGGGGGACGGAGAAGGCUAUGUUGGCCGGGCGACGGUUGUCCCGGUUUAAGCGUGUAGGUGUGUGUUCCAGGUAAAUCCGGUU